rnacentral:sRNA from 1 species
AUGGCUCUGACGGUACGCGUGCAACGACUAACAGGGCUGACCGGCACCCACGACCGACAAGUGAAGCUCACCUUUCGAGGCUUUACCCAGAAAACAAGAAAAAUUCACUGUGGUCCAGAAGCAGAUAUCGGUGAGCUGUUCCGAUGGCCCCACUAUGGGGCUCCACUGGCUGGGGAGUGUCUGUCUGUGCAGGUGGUCAACUGCAGCCGUGUAUUCAGCCCUAGGCCUCUAGGGACCCUGGUGAUCUCCCUGCAGCAGCUACAGAAUGCUGGGCAUUUGGUGCUACGGGAAGCCCUAGUGGAUGAGAAUCUUCGAGUGUCCCCGAUCCAGGUGGAGCUUGACCUGAAGUACCAGCCCCCAGAGGGCGCUACUGGAGCCUGGUCAGAGGAGGACUUUGGGGCACCCAUCCAGGACAGCUUCGAGUUAAUCAUCCCCAAUGUGGGCUUCCAGGAACUGGAGCCUGGGGAGGCCCAGCUGGAGCGGCGGGCAGUGGCUCUAGGCCGCAGGCUAGCUCGAAGUCUAGGCCAGCAAGACAAUGAAGAGAAUGAGCUGGAGCUUGAGCUGGAGCAGGACCUGGAUGAUGAGCCUGACGUGGAACUUUCUGGUGUUAUGUUCAGCCCCCUCAAGAGCCGCGCCAGGGCCCUGGCCCAUGGGGAUCCCUUCCAGGUGUCCAGAGCUCAAGACUUCCAGGUGGGAGUCACUGUGCUGGAAGCCCAGAAACUGGUGGGAGUCAACAUUAACCCCUAUGUGGCCGUGCAAGUGGGGGGGCAGCGCCGUGUGACCGCUACACAGCGUGGGACCAGUUGCCCCUUCUACAAUGAGUACUUCUUGUUCGAAUUUCAUGACACACGGCUUCAUCUCCAAGACUUGCUGCUGGAGAUCACGGCUUUCCACUCGCAGACCCUCCCCUUUAUGGCCACCCGGAUAGGCACCUUCAGGAUGGACCUGGGCAUCAUCUUGGACCAGCCAGAUGGCCAAUUCUACCAAAGAUGGGCUCCGCUGCAUGAUCCCCGAGACACCCGCGCCGGGACCAAGGGUUUCGUUAAGGUCACCUUGUCCGUGAGGGCGCGCGGGGACCUGCCCCCUCCAAUGCUACCCCCGGCCCCAGGGCACUGUUCGGACAUCGAGAAGAACCUGCUCCUGCCGCGCGGGGUGCCCGCCGAGAGGCCAUGGGCGCGGCUCCGCGUGCGCCUGUACCGCGCCGAGGGGCUUCCCGCGCUGCGCCCGGGGCUGCUGGGCAGCCUGGCCCGCGCCCUGCACGACCAGCGCGUCCUGGUGGAGCCCUAUGUGCGGGUGUCUUUCCUGGGGCAGGAGGGCGAGACGUCGGUGCGCGCCGAGGCGGCGGCGCCCGAAUGGAACGAGCAGCUGAGCUUCGUGGAGCUCUUCCCGCCGCUGACGCGCAGCCUCCGCCUGCAGCUGCGGGACGACGCGCCCCUGGUCGACGCGGCACUCGCUACGCACGUGCUGGACCUGAGGCGGAUCUCCCAUCCGGGCCGCGCGGCGGGGUUUAACCCUACCUUCGGCCCGGCCUGGGUGCCCCUCUAUGGCUCGCCCCCCGGCGCGGGGCUCCGGGAUAGUCUUCAAGGUCUCAACGAAGGCGUUGGCCAAGGCAUUUGGUUCCGCGGCCGCCUUCUGCUGGCUGUGUCCAUGCAGGUGUUGGAAGGGAGAGCUGAACCUGAGCCUCCCCAGGCCCAGCAGGGGUCCACGUUGUCCCGGCUCACCCGAAAGAAGAAAAAGAAAGCCAGAAGGGAUCAGACCCCAAAGGCGGUUCCGCAGCACUUGGACGCCAGCCCUGGUGCCGAGGGGCCUGAGAUCCCCCGUGCCAUGGAGGUGGAGGUGGAGGAGCUGCUGCCGCUGCCAGAGAAUGUCCUGGCGCCCUGUGAAGAUUUCCUGCUUUUCGGUGUGCUCUUCGAGGCCACCAUGAUCGACCCCGCCGUGGCCUCCCAGCCCAUCAGCUUCGAGAUCUCCAUUGGUCGCGCAGGCCGUCUGGAGGAGCAAUUGGGCCGAGGGUCCAGGGCUGGGGAGGGAACUGAGGGUGCAGCCGUGGAGGCUCAGCCUCUGCUGGGACCCAGGCCAGAGGAGGAGAAAGAGGAGGAAGAACCGGGGACCCCUGCUCAGCGGCCUGAGCCCAUGGACGGCAGCGGGCCAUACUUCUGCUUGCCCCUCCGUCACUGCAAGCCAUGCAUGCAUGUGUGGAGUUGCUGGGAGGACCACACCUGGCGCCUGCAGAGCAGCAACUGCGUGCGCAAAGUGGCCGAGAGGCUGGACCAGGGGCUGCAGGAAGUUGAGAGACUGCAGCGCAGGCCGGGGCCUGGCGCCUGUGCACAGCUCAAGCAGGCACUGGAAGUGCUGGUGGCUGGGAGCAGACAGUUUUGCCGCGGUGCCGAGCGCAGGACGAUGACCCGGCCCAAUGCCCUGGAUCGAUGCCGAGGGAAACUCCUGGUGCACAGCCUGGUAUGGCCUCGGGAAGGGACUCGGGCGCCUAGCUUGGGCCUUCCACUCAUGCUGUCUUUUUGCCCUCCCAGAACCUUUUGGCUAAGCAAGGACUGCGACUUCUACGCGGCCUGAGACGGAACAAUGUGCAAAAGAAGGUGGCACUGGCCAAGAAGCUCCUGGCAAAACUGCGCUUUCUGGCUGAGGAGCCCCAGCCACCCCUCCCUGACGUGCUGGUCUGGAUGCUCAGCGGGCAGCGCCAUGUGGCCUGGGCCCGGAUCCCUGCCCAGGAUGUGCUGUUCUCUGUGGUUGAGGAGGAACGGGGCCGAGACUGUGGGAAGAUCCAGAGUCUAAUGCUCACGGCACCCGGGGCAGCCCCUGGUGAGGUCUGUGCCAAGCUGGAGCUCUUCCUGUGGCUGGGCCUGGGCAAGCAAGCCAAGGCCUGCACCUCUGAGCUGCCCCCGGAUUUGCUGCCCGAGCCCUCAGCCGGGCUGCCCUCCAGCCUACACCGGGACGACUUUAGCUACUUCCAACUCCGGGCUCACUUGUACCAGGCCCGAGGUGUGUUGGCAGCAGAUGACAGUGGCCUCUCGGACCCCUUUGCUCGAGUCCUCAUCUCUACCCAGUGCCAGACCACACGGGUCCUGGAGCAGACGCUGAGCCCUCUGUGGAAUGAACUCCUGGUAUUUGAGCAGCUGAUCGUGGAUGGGAGGAGGGAGCACCUGCAGGAGGAGCCUCCAUUAGUGAUCAUCAAUGUAUUUGACCACAAUAAGUUUGGCCCCCCCGUGUUCCUGGGCAGGGCACUGGCCGCCCCAAGGGUAAAGCUGAUGGAGGACCCAUACCAACGCCCGGAGUUGCAGUUCUUCCCCCUGAGGAAGGGACCCCGGGCAGCCGGAGAGCUCAUUGCCGCCUUUGAACUCAUUGAACUAGACUACAGUGGCCGACUUGAGCCCUCAGUGCCCAGUGAUGUGGAGCCCCAGGAUCUGGCACCCCUGGUUGAGCCCCACUCUGGACGCCUGUCCCUUCCACCCAACGUGUGCCCAGUGCUCAGGGAGUUCCGUGUUGAGGUGCUGUUCUGGGGUCUUAGGGGACUUGGUCGUGUGCAUCUGUUCGAGGUGGAGCAGCCCCAGGUUGUACUGGAGGUGGCUGGGCAACGUGUGGAGUCUGAGGUCCUGGCCAGCUACCGUGAGAGACCCAAUUUCACUGAGCUUGUCAGGCAUCUGACAGUGGACUUGCCGGAGCAGCCUUACUUGCAGCCUCCACUCAGCAUCUUGGUGAUUGAGCGCCGGGCCUUUGGCCGCACAGUCCUUGUGGGUUCCCACAUUGUCCCCCACAUGCUGCGAUUCACAUUUCGGGGUCAUGAGGAUCCUCCUGAGGAGGAAGGAGAGAUGGAGGAGACAGGGGAUAUGAUGCCCAAGGGACCUCAAGGACAGAAGUCCCUGGAUCCCUUCUUGGCUGAAGCGGGUAUAUCCAGACAGCUCCUGAAGCCUCCUCUGAAGAAGCUCCCACUAGGAGGCCUCCUAAAUCAAGGCCCUGGGCUGGAGGAGGACAUCCCAGAUCCAGAAGAGCUCGACUGGUGGUCCAAGUACUAUGCGUCGCUGCAGGAGCUCCAGGGGCAGCACAACUUGGAUGAAGAUGAAAUGGAUGAUCCUGGAGAUUCAGAUGGGGUCAACCUCAUUUCUAUGGUUGGGGAGAUCCAAGACCAGGGUGAGGCUGAAGUCAAAGGCACUGUGUCCCCAAAAAAAGCAGUUGCCACCCUGAAGGUGACUGGGUACUGGGAAGAGGAAAGUCUCCUUUGGAUUCUGGACAUCGGGCUGUUGCUGAAGUCCUUGCCUUUUAGAUCUACAACAGGUCCCUGGAGGAAGAAUUUAACCACUUUGAAGACUGGCUGAAUGUGUUUCCUCUGUCCCGAGGGCAAGGGGGCCAGGAUGGAGGUGGAGAAGAGGAAGGAUCUGGACACCUUGUGGGCAAGUUCAAGGGCUCCUUCCUCAUUUACCCUGAAUCAGAGGCAGUGUCGUUCUCUGAGCCCCAGAUCUCCCGGGGGAUCCCACAGAACCGGCCCAUCAAGCUCCUGGUCAGAGUGUAUAUUGUAAAGGCUACCAACCUGGCUCCUGCAGACCCCAAUGGCAAAGCAGACCCUUACGUGGUGGUGAGCGCUGGCCGGGAGCGGCAGGACACCAAGGAACGCUACAUCCCCAAGCAGCUCAACCCCAUCUUUGGAGAGAUCCUGGAGCUAAGCAUCUCUCUCCCAGCUGAGACGGAGCUGACGGUCGCCGUAUUUGAUCAUGACCUCGUGGGUUCUGACGACCUCAUCGGGGAGACCCACAUUGAUCUGGAAAACCGAUUCUAUAGCCACCACAGAGCAAACUGUGGGCUGGCCUCCCAGUAUGAAGUAGAUGGUUACAAUGCCUGGCGUGAUGCAUUCCGGCCUUCGCAGAUCCUGGCGGGGCUGUGCCAACGCUGUGGCCUCCCUGCCCCUGAAUACCGAGCCGGUGCUGUCAAGGUGGGCAGCAAAGUCUUCCUGACACCACCGGAGACCCUGCCCCCAGGCAGCAGCAGCCCCACAGUGGCGAGCGGGGACCCUGAAGAGGCCCAGGCAUUGCUUGUGCUGCGGCGCUGGCAGGAAAUGCCGGGUUUUGGGAUCCAGCUGGUACCCGAGCAUGUAGAAACCAGGCCUCUCUACCAUCCCCACAGCCCAGGGCUGCUGCAGGGAUCUCUUCACAUGUGGAUUGACAUCUUUCCUCAAGAUGUGCCUGCUCCACCCCCAGUUGACAUCAAGCCUCGGCAGCCAAUCAGCUAUGAGCUCAGAGUUGUCAUCUGGAACACGGAGGAUGUGGUUCUGGAUGAUGAGAAUCCACUCACCGGAGAGAUGUCGAGUGACAUCUAUGUGAAGAGCUGGGUGAAGGGGUUGGAGCAUGACAAGCAGGAGACAGACGUUCACUUCAACUCCCUGACUGGGGAGGGGAACUUCAACUGGCGCUUUGUGUUCCGCUUUGACUACCUGCCCACGGAGCGGGAGGUGAGCGUCCGGCGCAGGUCUGGACCCUUUGCCCUGGAGGAGGCUGAGUUCCGGCAGCCUGCAGUGCUGGUCCUGCAGGUCUGGGACUAUGACCGCAUCUCUGCCAAUGACUUCCUUGGAUCCCUGGAGUUGCAGCUACCAGACAUGGUGCGUGGGGCCCGGGGCCCCGAGCUCUGCUCUGUGCGGCUGGCCCGCGAUGGGGCCGGGUCGAGGUGCAAUCUGUUUCGCUGCCGCCGCCUGAGGGGCUGGUGGCCGGUAGUGAAGCUGAAGGAGGCAGAGGACGUGGAGCGGGAGGCGCAGGAGGCUCAGGCUGGCAAGAAGAAGCGAAAGCAGAGGAGGAGGAAGGGCCGGCCAGAAGACCUGGAGUUCACAGACACGGGUGGCAAUGUGUACAUCCUCACGGGCAAGGUGGAGGCAGAGUUUGAGCUGCUGACUGUGGAGGAGGCCGAGAAACGGCCAGUGGGGAAGGGGCGGAAGCAGCCAGAGCCUCUGGAGAAACCCAGCCGCCCGAAAACUUCCUUCAACUGGUUUGUGAACCCGCUGAAGACCUUUGUCUUCUUCAUCUGGCGCCGGUACUGGCGCAUCCUGGUGCUGCUGCUGCUACUGGUGCUGCUCACCGUCUUCCUCCUCCUGGUCUUCUACACCAUCCCUGGCCAGAUCAGCCAGGUCAUCUUCCGUCCCCUCCACAAGUGA